rnacentral:rRNA from 1 species
CGAACGCUGGCGGCGCGCUUAAGCAUGCAAGUCGAACGGCAAGGCAGGUGCUUGCACCUGCCCUAGAGUGGCGGGACUGGUGAGUAACACGUGGGUGACAUGCCUUUAGUUGGGGAUAGCUACUAGAAAUAGUAGAUAAUACCGAAUGUGAUCAAUAUUUAUAGAUGAUGUUGAGGAAAGGAGCUAAGGCUUCGCUAAAAGAUUGGCCCGCGGCCCAUUAGCUAGUUGGUAGGGUAAAGGCUUACCAAGGCGAUGAUGGGUAUCCGGCCUGAGAGGGUGAUCGGACACAUUGGGACUGAGAUACGGCCCAGACUCCUACGGGAGGCAGCAGCUAAGAAUAUUCCACAAUGGACGAAAGUCUGAUGGAGCGACGCCGCGUGGAUGAUGAAGGCCGAAAAAGGUUGUAAAAUCCUUUUACACUGGAGGAAUAAGCAGAGUAGGGAAUGACUCUGUGAUGACUGUACAGUUUGAAUAAGCAACGGCUAAUUACGUGCCAGCAGCAGC